rnacentral:rRNA from 1 species
GGACAGUGUCUGGUGGGUAGUUUGACUGGGGCGGUCUCCUCCUAAAGAGUAACGGAGGAGCACGAAGGUCAGCUAAUCCUGGUCGGACAUCAGGAGGUUAGUGCAAUGGCAUAAGCUGGCUUGACUGCGAGCGUGACGGCGCGAGCAGGUGCGAAAGCAGGUCAUAGUGAUCCGGUGGUUCUGAAUGGAAGGGCCAUCGCUCAACGGAUAAAAGGUACUCCGGGGAUAACAGGCUGAUACCGCCCAAGAGUUCAUAUCGACGGCGGUGUUUGGCACCUCGAUGUCGGCUCAUCACAUCCUGGGGCUGAAGUAGGUCCCAAGGGUAUGGCUGUUCGCCAUUUAAAGUGGUACGCGAGCUGGGUUUAGAACGUCGUGAGACAGUUCGGUCCCUAUCUGCCGUGGGCGCUGGAGAAUUGAGGGGGGCUGCUCCUAGUACGAGAGGACCGGAGUGGACGCAUCACUGGUGUUCGGGUUGUCAUGCCAAUGGCAUUGCCCGGUAGCUAAAUGCGGAAGAGAUAAGUGCUGAAAGCAUCUAAGCACGAAACUUGCCCC